AAUUCCACAGGUGCUUCAGAGAACUAUCCCAGCAUGGCCUUGUCCUGGACUGCAUGGGGUUCAUUCUUCAUCCUCAAUGGUCAGGAGCCACUUCCAGCAGGUGCCCAAGGAGGACAAAGGAUCCAGGCUUCACUUCUCCUGAUGGAGCAAAAGGAGUACCAGGAGAUAAACGGUGAUUAAAGACUGGAUCUCAGACAACACUGGAAGCAUCUCCAGGCUUUCAGAACACCAGAUUAAUCCAUAUGAAUGGAAAGGACAGUUCAUUUGUCCUUUCCUGUGACCCUCAUUCUGUCCCAGAUGGACCACGCUAAAGAGGAUGUGGAGUAUGAAGUCUGUCUGAAUAUGUUAAAGGACUGAUACCAGGGUUGUUGUGAAGCUGUGGGGCCUUUGUUGAGCCAGAGAUACGGCUUGAAGGGAGAAAAUGAAACAUAGGUUGUGGCUCAGUUCUCAGCUAAGUACCCAGUUGAGUAGAGUAAGUGAGCUGCCUACGCAAGUCAGCCAGAGGAAGACGCAGAUGUCAGGGAAGAAGCAGGGCGAGGCUCCACGUAAAUGAGGAGGGGGAGCUCUAUGCCUGGCUGGGAGACCCUGUGGGUACUGGUGAUGACCAGCCCACACUCAGCCCUGAGCCAUAAAGACACAAAAGAAACCCCAAAGGAAGGAACGAACUGACUUGUCAAUCAUUCCCUACAGUUUUUAUUGAAGCAGGUCUGCCCAGCCUCUGCUUGCCUGCAGGAACUUAGAGACACACUAGCACUCUAUGGACGAGCAAAGACCAAAGUCAGGAGCAGAUCUUCAUCAAAUGGUGAGGAUUCCAUCUCAUCAGCCAGAGCAGUCAUCAACGAAGCCAAGGACAGCUCUCACAAGUUGUCCUUGAACCUCCACACACGGGCAUAUAUAUGACUAAAUUUAAUUUGUUAAAGCCAAAAUUUUUUUAAAUUAAAAAAAAAACAAGCAAAAUUGUGGAGACUUUAUAAUUUAUGUUUAAUGCCAAGAAUGCCUCAUGCCAGAUAGUCGUCAGAACUUUCAUACAUUGCCACGGCUAAUGACCACCAUAACCAU
rnacentral:lncRNA from 1 species